rnacentral:rRNA from 1 species
GGGCUUGACAUCCCACGAACCUGGAAACAUGGUCUUCCACUUCGGUGGACCGGGUGACAGGUGCUGCAUGGCUGUCGCCAGCUCGUGUCGUGAGAUGUUGGGUUAAGUCCCGCAAUGAGCGCAACCCCUGCCUUUAGUUGCCAACAUUCAGUUGGGCACUCUAGAGGGACUGCCGGUGUUAAACCGGAGGAAGGUGGGGACGACGUCAAGUCCUCAUGGCCUUUAUGCCCAGGGCUACACACGUGCUACAAUGGGCGGCACAAAGGGAAGCGACGCCGCGAGGUGUGGCAAAUCCCAAAAAACCGCUCUCAGUUCGGAUCGGAGUCUGCAACUCGACUCCGUGAAGUUGGAAUCGCUAGUAAUCGUGGAUCAGCAUGCCACGGUGAAUACGUUCCCGGGCCUUGUACACACCGCCCGUCACACCACGAAAGUCUGCUGUACUCGAAGUCGCUGAG